rnacentral:rRNA from 1 species
GACGAAGGUGGCGAGCGUUGUUCGGAAUCACUGGGCAUAAAGCGCACGUAGGUGGUGUCGUAAGUCGGGUGUGAAAUCCCUCGGCCUAACCGAGGAACUGCGCCCGAUACUGCGAUGCUUGAGGAUCAGAGGGGUGCGGAAUUCCAGGUGGAGCGGUGAAAUGCGUAGAGAUCUGGAAGAACACCAAAGGCGAAGGCAGCAUUCUGGCUCGUAACUGACGCUCAUGUGCGAAAGCUAGGGGAGCGAACGGG